GCGGUGGAUGAUGUGGAUUAAUUCGAUGCAACGCGAAGAACCUUUACCACCCUUGACAUGUCCGGAACUUGCCAGAGAUGGCUUGGUGCCCGAAAGGGAAUCGGAACACAGGUGCUGCAUGGCUGUCGUCAGCUCGUGUCGUGAGAUGUUGGGUUAAGUCCCGCAACGAGCGCAACCCUUAUCAUUAGUUGCUACGCAAGGGCACUCUAAUGAGACUGCCGGUGACAAACCGGAGGAAGGUGGGGAUGACGUCAAGUCCUCAUGGCCCUUAUGGGUAGGGCUUCACACGUCAUACAAUGGUCGGUACAGAGGGUUGCCAAGCCGCGAGGCGGAGCCAAUCCCACAAAGCCGAUCGUAGUCCGGAUUGUUCUCUGCAACUCGAGAGCAUGAAGUCGGAAUCGCUAGUAAUCGCAGGUCAGCAUACUGCGGUGAAUACGUUCCCGGGUCUU
rnacentral:rRNA from 1 species